rnacentral:rRNA from 1 species
AGAAGGCCUUUAGGUUGUAAAGCACUUUAAGCGAGGAGGAGGCUACUCUAGUUAAUACCUAGAGAUAGUGGACGUUACUCGCAGAAUAAGCACCGGCUAACUCUGUGCCAGCAGCCGCGGUAAUACAGAGGGUGCAAGCGUUAAUCGGAUUUACUGGGCGUAAAGCGCGCGUAGGUGGCCAAUUAAGUCAAAUGUGAAAUCCCCGAGCUUAACUUGGGAAUUGCAUUCGAUACUGGUAGGCUAGAGUAUGGGAGAGGAUGGUAGAAUUCCAGGUGUAGCGGUGAAAUGCGUAGAGAUCUGGAGGAAUACCGAUGGCGAAGGCAGCCAUCUGGCCUAAUACUGACACUGAGGUGCGAAAGCAUGGGGAGCAAACAGGAUUAGAUACCCUGGUAGUCCAUGCCGUAAACGAUGUCUACUAGCCGUUGGGGCCUUUGAGGCUUUAGUGGCGCAGCUAACGCGAUAAGUAGACCGCCUGGGGAGUACGGUCGC